CGGGGUGUAGCGAAGCCUGGUAUCGCGUUCGCUUUGGGGGCGAAAGAUCCCCGGUUCGAAUCCGGGCACCCCGA
rnacentral:tRNA from 1 species